rnacentral:rRNA from 1 species
UACGUAGGGUGCAAGCGUUGUCCGGAAUUAUUGGGCGUAAAGAGCUCGUAGGCGGUCUGUCACGUCGGCUGUGAAAUCCCGAGGCUCAACCUCGGGUCUGCAGUCGAUACGGGCAAACUAGAGCAUUGCAGGGGAGACUGGAAUUCCUGGUGUAGCGGUGAAAUGCGCAGAUAUCAGGAGGAACACCGGUGGCGAAGGCGGGUCUCUGGGCAAUAACUGACGCUGAGGAGCGAAAGCGUGGGGAGCGAACAGG